GCCUGGCCCGUCGGUCACGUGACCGCCCGGAAACCCUGAGCUGACUAUUGGUGGCUGAGGUGAGGUGGCGGAACGCGGAGCUGGAGCAAUGCGGGGGCGGCGGCGGCCUCUGCUGCUGGGGCAGCAGCUGUUAACUAUGAGUCUUGGCCAGGAAAGAUGAUCUAAAUCAUUUACCUUCUACUCAUUAAGAUCAAGGCUAAAGUGGAAAGGGUAGGAAGAGAGAGUAUGGCUGGGCCUAAUACUUUUCAGAGUGGGGCUUGGACAUCCAGAUUCACUCAUCAUCAUAUUGUUGUGUUCCUGCUCACUUUUUUCAGUUAUUCACUUCUUCAUGCUUCAAGAAAAACCUUUAGCAAUGUGAAAGUCAGUAUUUCUAGCCAGUGGACUCCAACAUACUUAAACAAAACUGCUGUGAAACUGGAGCCUAUAGAGCUUUGGAACAACAGUCAUUUAUUUCCAAAUGCUGAGGAGGCUACCCUUUUCCUUGGGACACUGGACACCAUUUUUCUCUUCUCAUAUGCUGUGGGUCUUUUCAUCAGUGGUAUAAUUGGGGAUCGAUUUAAUAUGCGAUGGGUUCUGUCCUUUGGUAUGUGCUCCUCUGCAGUAGUGGUGUUUUGCUUUGGCACCCUCACAGAAUGGCUUCAUUUCUAUAACAAGUGGUUCUACUGUUCCCUGUGGAUAUUGAAUGGCCUCCUGCAGUCCACUGGUUGGCCCUGUGUUGUUGCAGUUAUGGGCAACUGGUUUGGAAAAGCUGGACGUGGAGUUAUUUUUGGGCUCUGGAGUGCUUGUGCCUCAGUGGGCAAUAUUUUGGGAGCAUGCCUAGCAUCUUCAGUUUUGCAGUAUGGGUAUGAGUAUGCUUUCUUGUUAACAGCAUCAGUACAGUUUGCUGGUGGAAUCAUUAUCUUCUUUGGACUUUUGAUAUCUCCAGAAGAAAUUGGUCUUCCAGAGAUUGAGAAAGAAGAAAGUUCUGAAGAUGAUCCUUGUAGACCAUUAAUUAAUAAUGAAAGUGAGGAUCAUGAGCCCAAUUACUCAAUCCAAGAAGUCAGUACAAUCCAUCAGCCAAAGGCAAUCAGCUUUUACCAGGCUUGUUGCCUUCCUGGAGUUAUUCUGUAUUCUUUGGCCUAUGCCUGCUUGAAGUUAGUGAAUUAUUCCUUCUUCUUCUGGCUGCCCUUUUAUCUGAGCAACAACUUUAGAUGGAAAGAGGCUGAAGCUGACAAGCUCUCCAUUUGGUAUGAUGUUGGAGGAAUUAUAGGUGGAACUUUACAAGGCUUCAUCUCUGACAUGCUACAGAAGAGAGCACCAGUCUUAGCUGGGAGUCUGCUUCUGGCAAUUGGGUCCCUUGUUGGUUAUAGCCGUUCUCCAAACAAUAAGGCUAUUAAUGCAUUUCUAAUGACUGUAACAGGGUUUUUCAUUGGAGGACCCUCUAAUAUGAUUAGUGCUGCUAUUUCUGCGGAUUUGGGUCACCAGGAGCUGGUACAGGGAAGCAGUGAAGCCUUGGCCACGGUUACAGGAAUUGUUGAUGGAACUGGGAGUAUUGGAGCAGCAAUGGGCCAGAGCCACUGCAUAUAAUAAAUAGUACUUUUUGAGACAAGAAAGAGAAAAAAAGAGGGAAAAGAGUCAUCAUCUGUUGUAGAGGAUAAAGAGGGUGGAGGACUAUUCUGAACUGGUUCUGAUUUGCCAGCUACCAUCUCCUUGAGUACAUGGUACUUCAGCUCCUUUUUUGUUUAUUUGCUCAUCUUAAGUGACUGAAUAUUAUGAGACAUGAGAUCCCAGGUGAUCUGAUAAGUUCAGGAGAUCUGGAAAUCCCAUCAGAGGUCCUAUCAGUAACUAGAGGUGGUAGCAGUGGAGAAACAAGAGAGAAAACAACAGCAGAUAUUUGUAGAAAGAGAAUCAUUCAAUGUCAAUGAAGAUGACAGCUUCGUGGAAUGUGACUGCGCAUGCAGAGUACUGCUUGCUAGUGGUGAAUUCAAAAAAAGCAAUGACUCUUAGAGUGCAGCCAGGUUACCCACAUGUAAAGGUACCACCCAUAAGAGGAACUUCAUGAGGACUCUAUGAAAGGAGAACAUGACUUCCAAGACCAGGAGUGAGCAGUUACUCCUUUGCCAUAGAAUUUCUCUACUCCAAGGAUCCUGUGUAUGCAAGAGAAGAGUAUAUCUCUGGUUUAAGGGAAUUAAAAAACCCUGUUCUUAUCAUACCACCUGAGUAAAUCCCUUUUCUGAAAACUAAUCAACAUUAAUGUAUCUGCUGGCCGACUAUUAAUGGGUAAGUAUAUUGGAGGGGGCUUGUAAGCAAAAGUGCUAGAAACUCCAUUCCCUCCAUGUUCAUACUAGGACACUGAGAAUAGUAGUAACUUGCUCUCUUGGGGACCACCCAUCAAUUCCAGUGGGAUUUGAGUUAUUUGAGUGGCUGGGGGUGGAAUGUUCUAUAGGAUACUUUUAUUUCCCUUAAAAGUUUCUCCAAAAAAGUCAUCUUAAAAAAUAAGAAUUGCUUUAAUAAUGGAGAUGACUGUUACUACUUGGUCGAUCAAAAUUAGGAUGUUGUUUUUUGCUUUUCUUUAUGUGUCAAUUCACAGAAAAGAAAGCAAUACAAUGAUCCCUAGCUAUAAAAACAUAGAGACAUGUAACUCUUUGGGUUAGAAUUCUUUGAUAGAUUUCAAUGAAAGGACAAUAUUUGCUUUUUGCCACCAAAGGACAUAAAUUUCCCUUAGGACUGUCAAGUAAGAAGUAGGCUCUGCCAGAAAUGCUUGUGAGUUGCAUUUCCUUAAGUGGUGGAGGUAGAAGAACCAGUCAAAGGGAUUUGGCCAGCAGGAUAAUUAGCUUUGUCUAGAAGACUUUUCUGGUGAUGUGAGUAUAGAGAAAAGGAGGUAGAAUAAUGCAGUUUUUGCACCCCAAGGUGCCACCUAGGUGCCCUCCUUUCACACACUCCCUUAGCCAGAAUUGAAUUUUUGAAAGGACCUACCUCUAGGCAAUGCCUGAAGCCACUGGAAAGGUGAGAUAGACUUCAUCUUCAUCUUCACUGGAAAGAUGAGAUAGAGUCCAGAGUAUUUUUCAAGAAUAUGGAGAUUUUGGUUUAGUUUGAUAGCACUUUUACAACUAACUCAUUCUUCACCGAUUUACAGGAUCUUAGAGUUGGGGGACAUCCUGUUGGUUGAACCUUGGUCGAACUUCUUACCCAGUGCUGGAAUUUCUGGUGCUGAUGGCAAGUCUUUCCUGGAUCUGUCUAGAGGCUCCUAACAUGGAUCAUAAAAUCAGAUUCCCUAUCCUUUCCAGUUCUACCCUCUGGAACAAUCUAAAAGGAGCCUGCUCCCCCUUCCCUAGGACAAAAUCUUCACCCCUCUGAAGCCUGACAUUAUCUCUAGGUCUUAGCUUUCCCAUCCAUCAAGUGAGGGGGCCAGCCCAGAUCACAUCUAAGGCCACUUCCAGCACUAACAUUCCACGACUCGGUGUCUCUCCUUCGUCUUCUCUACUCUAAACAUCCUCAUUUCCCUCAAGCACACGGCAUAUUUUGCAGCUCUUUCAUUAUCUACAGUGCUCCUCUCUAGAUAUCCUCCAGCUGGUCAGAGCCUCUUUUAGAAUGCAGUGCCCAGAAUUCUGUGUGUCUCCGAGAUGCUGGCUAUGGAGGCAGAGGAGCUGGGACCAGAUGAUGGGGAGGGAGGAAUCUCUGAUGAUAACUCCUCUAACCCCCUCAUUUAAUGGAAGGAAGGAAGGAGGGGAAAAGUAUCUACAUAUCCCAGAUAGGAAGCACUUUAUAACUAUUACCUCAUUGGAUUCUCACAACCACCCUGGGAGGUAAAUGCUGUUAUUAUCCUAAUUUUACAGAUGAUGUAAGGGAGGCAGGUAGAGGUUAAGUGGCUUGCCCAGGAUCAUAGAGCCGGUAAGUUUAUGAGGCUGGAUUUGAACUGCCUCCAAGCCUAGCACUCUAUCCUCUCCUAGACCUCUCUCAAGUAAAGAAACUGAGGCCCAGAGACAAGAAGGAACCGAUAUUCAAAUCCUGACCUUCUGAUUCCAAAUCCAGCACUCACUCUCCUGCACCAUUCUGGUUUAAUUCACCACUGUGAGGCUUUGUACCAUUUAUUUUUCUCAACUUGGAGAAGAGGAGAAUAUGGACUAGGCAAUUGUCCAUCCCAAGACUUACAGAAUGCUUUACCUAUAUUGCUUCAUUUGAACCCUACAACAAGCCACCGAUAUGGGUUCUACAGGUAUUAUAUCCCCAUUUUACAGAUGAGGAAACUAAGGCUCCCAGAGGUUGAAUUAUUUGCCUUGGUUCAAGUAGCUAAUAAGUGUCAGAAAAGGGAUUUGAACCCAGAUCUUUUUUGAUUCCAAACCUUGGGUUAAAUUCUAUGUCCAGUGGCCUGUGAAUUCAUCUCAAAGACCCUUUUUUUAAAUCUCUAAUUCCCUUGUAUAAGUAAUUUUAUCCCUUAGGGUCCUAUCAGGAGGGAGAUGGCUCCUAUACUUCAGUGAUCUCUCAAAGUGCGAUCCACAGACCCCUGGAACUCUCUGAGACCUUUUCUGGGGGGUCCAUGAGGUUGCAACUAUUUUUACACUAAAACCAAGAUUUUCUUUGCCUGUUAAAAUACUUCUCCCUUUUCCAGUUACAUAUCUGUGUGAGGCUGAUUUUCUUCACAUACUUGAACUGAAACAACAGAUUGAAUGCAGAGCAGAUAUGAGAAUCCAGCUGUCUUCUGUCAAACCAGACAUUACAGGGGAUUUGCAAAAACAUGGAAAAACAAUGCCAAUCUCUCAGUGAAACAUUUUGUUUUGAGAAAUAUACUUGUUUUGUAAAAAUAUUAGUUAUGUUAAAAUGCAAGAGAUGUAAUUUUCAAUGAAUCAGGGAGCAUUUUAGACAUUCAUUUUAAUGUCUAAGAGUAUUGAUACAUAUAAUCUACAUAAACAAAAA